AUUAACACCAGCCACAUCUACUCCAAAAUUAACCUCCGCUGCCACGACAACCCCUACAACCACUCUCAGAGCAAUCACACUAGCACCUACUAAAAUGUCUCUCACAACCACCAAAGUCAUCCCAACUGCAACUACAGACGCAACCGCAAAACCUACAGGAAAUGAGGGUUCACUUGCAUUAGGAUUCAGAGUAAUCCUAACGCUGACUACAUGUUCAGACUCCCCCACGAUAUAUCAGAAACUGGCACUUACUGUUACUACAGAGGUGAAUCGUUUUUACAAAACAACUUAUCCUUUAACAUACCUAAGGUCAAGUGUUAAUCAAUUCACGAGUGGCUUAGUUAUUUUCAACCUGACCCUUUUUUUUGAAAACCAGACAGUGGUUCCAAAUGUAACAAGUGUGAAGCAGGUAUUAAUUCAGUUUCAGGGAAACACCUCCCUAAAUAUUGAUAGAACCUCCAUUAGCGCAACCGUGACAACCACUACAUCCCCAACAACAGUAAUGACCACUGCAUCAAGAGCCGAAACCUUGACUAUCACAAUGUGGAUAGUUUUGACCGUGCUAACAGGACUCUUGUGAACUCAAAGACAUUUAGUGCCAAAUAAAACAAUCUGUUUUACAGUGAGAAAUAGAGGAAUUAUAAAUAAAAAUGAAUACUAGGUCUGCCUUAUUUAUUUAUUCAUUCCUCAGGGGAGAGAUUUCACAAUUUAUGUGUGACCUAGUUUUAUCUGUAAUUUGAAGUGAUUUGUGAAUAUUGAUAAGUUACGUAGAAAUGUAAUCAUGGCCAAAACACUAAUAUGCUUUUUUUACAUGCAGCUGCAAUGUAUCUGUGAUUGCUCUGC
ensembl:lncRNA